rnacentral:lncRNA from 10 species
AGGAGACAGGAGGCCAGGCACAGCGACUCAUGCCUAUAAUCGCAGCCUGUGGGAGGCUGAGGCAGGAGGAUCACUUGAGGCCAGGAGUUUGAGACCAGCCUGGGCAAAGUAGCAAAACUCCAUUUGUAUAAAAAAAAUUAGCCAGGUGUGGUGGUGCACACCUCUAGUCCCAGCUACUCAGGAGGCUAAGGCAGGAGGAGGAUCGCUUGAGUCCAGGAGUUCAAGGCUGUGGGUAAGCUAUGAUCAUGCCACUGCACUCCAGCCAGGCAACAGACCUGUCUCAAAAAAAAGAAAAUUGAGAGGCCAAGGCAGGCAGGUCACUUGAGGCAGGAGUUCAAG